AGUGGAGGUUAGAAGAGGUGAACAAUAUUUUAUUCACUUUUCUGUGACAGAACUGAAAAAAUAGAUUACCUGGGAGAUAGUUGGCGUGCAUCUAAACAACAUUGAGCAAAAUCAGAAUAGGCAAUAUGAGAAAUUACUAGAGCUUAUUGGUGCAUUGGGGGACAAAUAUUUCACAAUUGGAUAUUUUAAUGCAAUCUUAGCAACCCAUGAGAAGGAUGGAGGCAUAGAAAAAUCUUCACAAUCAAUUAAGAAUUUCUUGAAUUUUGUUAAUAGAGCACUACUAAUUGAUAUGGGUUACAUUGGGCUAAAAUUCACAUGGUGGAAUAGGAGCUACCAAAAGAGAGCAGUCAGAGAAAGGUUAGAUAAAGGACUGAUCUCGCUGUUUUUGCGAGAGGAAUAUCCCACCGCUACAAUUACCCAUUUAGAGGACAAUGGUAGUGAUCAUAGACUGCUUUUGUUUUGCUCAGGCGAAGGUGGUCAGAGAAAGAAAAGACGCUUCUGGUUUCAAGAGAGAUGGUGCAGUUUGGAAGCAAUUGAUAACAUUGCUUGCAAAACUUGGCAAGAGAGCAUACAAGGUUCACCCAUGUUUCAAUUAUUCCAGAAUUUGAAAAAAUACAAAUCUAAAAUUGUUAAAUGACAAGCUACGAGAGCAAGCAAUUCAAGAAGAGACAUGGAGAGUAUAGAAGUCUCACUUGCGGUGCUAAAAUAAAAUCCAGCAAUGGUAGACAAAAACCAGAUUGAUCUCUUAGAGGAAGAAUUAGCUAGAACUUAUGUGCAGGAAGAGAGAUUUUGGAAGGAAAAAUCAAGAGUAAGCUAGCUGAAAUGAGGAGACCAGAACACUAAGUUUUUUCAUUCAAAGACCCAGUCUCGAAAUAGAAGAAAUAAAAUCUGAAAACUCAAAGAUGAGGCUGGAAAUUGUUGCACUACUUCAGAAGAGAUUGAAGACCGAGCCCAAAGAUACUUCGAGGGUUUGUUUACUUUAGGAAACCCGAAAGAUCCCUCACAGAGCCUAACAAAUCUUAGAAGAAAGAUUUCUACAAAAAUGAAUAGAGAACUAAUAAGGCCAACUAUCGAAGAAGAAAUCAAAAGGGCAAUCUAUUCUAUUAACCCAGAGGCAGCCCUAGGUGACAAUGGCUUCACAUCCAAAUUCUUCGAAAUUUUAUUGGAAUACCAUCAAGCGGAUGUAUGCAAAGCUGUUAGAACUUAGAAACUUUCCUAGAGGAGGGCGCAUGCUUAGAGGGUUCAAUCACAUUCAAAUUUGCCUUAUUUCAAAGAUACAAAAUGCAACUGCAAUGAAUCAAAUUCGGCCGAUCAGCCUCAACACUGUGUUUUACAAAAUCAUCUCUAAGGUACUUGUUCAAAGACUGCAACCUCUUAUGAAUAAAAUUAUUCAUGACAAUUAAAGUUCUUUUAUCCGAGAGAGACUCAUUAGUGACAAUAUCUUAGUGGCUCCUGAAUGUAUGUAUUUUUUGAAGAAUAAGGAGUUUGAUAAUCAUGAUAUGGCACUUAAAAUUAACAUGAGUAAAGCCUAUGAUAGGGUUGAAUGGAGUCUUCUUUGGUUUAUGAUGGAGAAACUGGGUUUCUAUGAUAAGUGAAUUGGGUGGAUUAAAGAGUGUGUGUCUACAAUCUCUUAUUCUGUUGUUGUGGAAGGAAUUCCUACUAGCUUCUUUAGGCCAAGCAGAGGGCUCCGUAAAGAAAAUUCCCUCUCUCCCUAUCUUUUUUUUUUUAUUUGUGCAGAGGGACUGUCCCUUCUGCUCCACAAAGAAAAACAGAAUAACCUACUGCAGGGAUUUUGGUUGAAUAGUAGAUGCUCCUCCAUUAACCACCUAUUACUUGUAGACGAUUCUAUAUUGUUUGGAAGAGCUAAUAUGUGAUCAUGUGACAAGAUCCUAGGCAUCCUACAGCGGUACAGCGAGCUGAGUAGCCAGCUCAUUAAUCUAAACAAGUCGGCCAUUUUUUUCAGCAAGAAUAUGCCUCAAACAACCUGGACAGAACUAGCUACUUUGAUUGGGUUUCCUAAUAUUGGUGCUCAAGACCAUUAUUUGGGCCUUCCGUCAGUUAUCAAUAGAACCAAAAGAGAAACAUUCUCAUCUGUUAAAGAUAAGGUUAGAAAGAAGUUGCAGCACUGGAAAAGAACGAUGUUUUCGGCAAGCGAAAGAGAGAUUCUGAUAAAGGUGAUUAGCACAACGAUACCGAUUUACUCGCUUAAUUAUUUUAAGCUUUUAUAUACUCUUUUAGAUGAAAUUCAUAAAAUAAUGAUGCAGUUUUGGCGGGGACAAAAAUAGAAUUAGAGAAAAAUACACUGGAUAAGUUGGGACUCAAUCAGCAGACAAAAAUCCAAGAGGUUUGGGUUUUAAAAAUCUCAAAGCUUUCAACUUAUCAAUGCUAGCCAAACAAGGAUAAAAACUUCUAACAAGAACACAUUCACUGGUAUAUAAAAUCUACAAAAAUAAAUAUUUUCGAUAUACCUUUUUCUCGGAAGCAAAGCCUGGAUUCAGACCUUUUUGGGCUUGACGGAAUCUCUUGGAGGACAGAAAGGUUCUAGGGAAAGGCGUUAGAUUCAGUGUCACUACCCAUGGCUCCACCAGAAUAAGAAAAGACUCGUGGUUCGGAGACCAACUCCUUUUCAGGUUCCCAGCAGCAGCAGAACAAAAUCUUGAAAUGCAUUGGGUCCAGCAGCUGAUAACAGAUACUG